rnacentral:rRNA from 1 species
AUUGAACGCUGGCGGCAGGCCUAACACAUGCAAGUCGAGCGGAUGAAGGGAGCUUGCUCCUGGAUUCAGCGGCGGACGGGUGAGUAAUGCCUAGGAAUCUGCCUGGUAGUGGGGGAUAACGUCCGGAAACGGGCGCUAAUACCGCAUACGUCCUGAGGGAGAAAGUGGGGGGUCUUCGGACCUCACGCCAUCAGAUGAGCCUAGGUCGGAUUAGCUAGUUGGUGGGGUAAAGGCCUACCAAGACGACGAUCCGUAACUGGUCUGAGAGGAUGAUCAGUCACACUGGAACUGAGACACGGUCCAGACUCCUACGGGAGGCAGCAGUGGGGAAUAUUGGACAAUGGGCGAAAGCCUGAUCCAGCCAUGCCGCGUGUGUGAAGAAGGUCUUCGGAUUGUAAAGCACUUUAAGUUGGGAGGAAGGGCAGUAAGUUAAUACCUUGCUGUUUUGACGUUACCAACAGAAUAAGCACCGGCUAACUUCGUG